rnacentral:rRNA from 1 species
GACGAACGCUGGCGGCGUGCCUAAUACAUGCAAGUUGAGCGCUGAAGGUUGGUACUUGUACCAACUGGAUGAGCAGCGAACGGGUGAGUAACGCGUGGGGAAUCUGCCUUUGAGCGGGGGACAACAUUUGGAAACGAAUGCUAAUACCGCAUUAAAACUUUAAACACAAGUUUUAAGUUUGAAAGAUGCAAUUGCAUCACUCAAAGAUGAUCCCGCGUUGUAUUAGCUAGUUGGUGAGGUAAAGGCUCACCAAGGCGAUGAUACAUAGCCGACCUGAGAGGGUGAUCGGCCACAUUGGGACUGAGACACGGCCCAAACUCCUACGGGAGGCAGCAGUAGGGAAUCUUCGGCAAUGGACGAAAGUCUGACCGAGCAACGCCGCGUGAGUGAAGAAGGUUUUCGGAUCGUAAAACUCUGUUGGUAGAGAAGAACGUUGGUGAGAGUGGAAAGCUCAUCAAGUGACGGUAACUACCCAGAAAGGGACGGCUAACUACGUG